UGCAGUCGAGCGGAAACGACUUAACUGAACCUUCGGGGAACGUUAAGGGCGUCGAGCGGCGGACGGGUGAGUAAUGCCUGGGAAAUUGCCCUGAUGUGGGGGAUAACCAUUGGAAACGAUGGCUAAUACCGCAUGAUAGCUUCGGCUCAAAGAGGGGGACCUUCGGGCCUCUCGCGUCAGGAUAUGCCCAGGUGGGAUUAGCUAGUUGGUGAGGUAAGGGCUCACCAAGGCGACGAUCCCUAGCUGGUCUGAGAGGAUGAUCAGCCACACUGGAACUGAGACACGGUCCAGACUCCUACGGGAGGCAGCAGUGGGGAAUAUUGCACAAUGGGCGCAAGCCUGAUGCAGCCAUGCCGCGUGUAUGAAGAAGGCCUUCGGGUUGUAAAGUACUUUCAGCAGUGAGGAAGGUGGUGUCGUUAAUAGCAGCAUCACUUGACGUUAGCUGCAGAAGAAGCACCGGCUAACUCCGUGCCAGCAGCCGCGGUAAUACGGAGGGUGCGAGCGUUAAUCGGAAUUACUGGGCGUAAAGCGCAUGCAGGUGGUUCGUUAAGUCAGAUGUGAAAGCCCGGGGCUCAACCUCGGAAUUGCAUUUGAAACUGGCGGACUAGAGUACUGUAGAGGGGGGUAGAAUUCCCGGGUGUAGCGGUGAAAUGCGUAGAGAUCUGAAGGAAUACCGG
rnacentral:rRNA from 1 species